rnacentral:rRNA from 1 species
GACGAACGCUGGCGGCGUGCUUAACACAUGCAAGUCGAACGGAAAGGCCCUGCUUUUGUGGGGUGCUCGAGUGGCGAACGGGUGAGUAACACGUGAGUAACCUGCCCUUGACUUUGGGAUAACUUCAGGAAACUGGGGCUAAUACCGGAUAGGAGCUCCUGCUGCAUGGUGGGGGUUGGAAAGUUUCGGCGGUUGGGGAUGGACUCGCGGCUUAUCAGCUUGUUGGUGGGGUAGUGGCUUACCAAGGCUUUGACGGGUAGCCGGCCUGAGAGGGUGACAGGCCACAUUGGGACUGAGGUACGGCCCAGACUCCUACGGGAGGCAGCAGUGGGGAAUAUUGCGCAAUGGGCGGAAGCCUGAUGCAGCAACGCCGCGUGCGGGAUGACGGCCUUCGGGUUGUAAACCGCUUUCGCCUGUGACGAAGCGUGAGUGACGGUAAUGGGUAAAGAAGCACCGGCUAACUACGUG